UUUUCCAUGAUGAUACCAAACUCAGCUCACUCUGAUAAACAAUGCUGAUAACUUUCCGUUCCAACGUAUAACAUAUCUGAGGAAAAA
rnacentral:snoRNA from 1 species